UGGGAUUAAAGGAAUCUGAUUCAAUACACAGAAAACCACUACAGUUUCAACUUGAGAAAGCAGAUCACUUUAUAAUAUUAAAACAUGAAACCAUAAGCAGCAAAAUCCAACACACCGGCAGACCCAUCAUGUUUGCAGGUACUGCAGGGCUAUCCAGAUUAUGAUGUGCACCAAACAACU